UCCUGGUAUUUAUCCAGAUGAAUUGAAAACUGUGCCCACACAAAAACCUGCACACAGAUGUUUAUAGCAGCUUUAUUCAUAAUUGCCAAAAAUUGGGAGCCAACAAGAUAUCUUCGGCAGGUCACAGAGGAAAGCAAGCAGUGGUGGAAGGUAUCCCCAGCCUCCAGCUGUAUCUAACCUCUGUGAAGCAGAUCCAGGAUUCUCAGUCAUGUUUUGUGAGGAGUGGACUUCUUGAACAAGUGUGUGGCAGAAAUUCCUGAAAAUAGAAGAAGCCAGUCCCUGGAUCUUCAGCAAACAAGAGGAAGAAGACACAGAAGAACUAAUGCCACCUCUAAUCUCCCUGCGGAUAAACAGUAAAGCUACAAGGUUUGGGCAAAGGAAGGAUGAUCAGACAUUUCGCAGCUGCUUCAUUGUAAUGGUGAGAGGCAGAGUUGGAAGCCGAAGGUGACAGAGGUAGUGGAUGUACCAGUCCGAUGCCCUCCUUCAAUGCUGCAAA